UCAAUCCUUUGCGCUCGCCUUCGGCGAGCGCGCACCUUUUCGAAUUUGAAAGUGCAACAAUCUAGGGGUUUUUAUACUGCAAGGGUAGCUUUGUGGGAAAAAAAACCUGAUGCUAGAAG
rnacentral:rRNA from 1 species